UGGCAACCCUGGAGAAAGACUUCUCAUCUGUGGUAGUUCUUCCACCCCAAGCAUCAUGUUAAAGCCUAAAACAUCGUUAAGGUUAUGGAAACAACAGUUUGUGCUGCAUGACUUGAUGCUCCCAGGAGAUGCCGAACAUGCAAAGUGGAAGAGGCUGUACUGUAGAGAACCCGUCAACAGAUGAUAGUCUGCUGAAGAUCUUUCCAUCGGAAUGCAGAACCUCACCCUGAAUUACAAAAGCAGGCAAAGUCCUGUGUGUAAAUUAUUUUUGUGUUACAUUGUGCUUAUGCAGAUAAUUUACUUGAAACUAAUUCAUAUUGUUAGCAACAAAUACAGUAAAGAAGGGAAGCACAUACAAUGGGAAGUGAGUGCAAGAAUUCAAAGAUUUUUGAAUAGUCUUCUGCAAGAUGUUUGGUUUUCUAAUGACCAUAUUCAUUAUCAUGAAAUGAGAAGUAGGCCUAACAAUGACUUUUUUGUAGGGAAAUGUUUAUGGCAACCUUGUGUCAGAAAAGGUGCUAUAUUAAUAGAAACUUUAAUCCAACUCUUUGCAACAAAGAUUUAGAAUAGAAUUACAAGAUGUAUUGAAACAGUUUCCAAAUCAUUUAUGAAUAUACAAAUAAUUGACAGUAAGUUAGAAGUAUUCAGCUCAGUACAGAAAUCUGUACAAAUUUUCUGUGCAUAACUUAUGUAUCAGUAUUAAGAUUGUUUCAUAAUUUCAUAUUUAUUAGCACAGUUUAUAUAAUAUUUGCUAAUACCAUUCCAUUUAUCUAAACUCAGCAUCUGAUGCUGAUGGCACAGUGAUGGGAUCCCAACCCACUGUCAGACACCCCAAAGUAACACCAACACCUGAGUGAGGUAUAAGAAUAUAAGGUAUCUUGUAUAUGACGAUAAUUGUAAUAAUAUAGUAUA